CAAUCCACAAAAUAAUUAAAGUUUCAACCAAUUUUCAACUAGAAUUAUAGGUUUCAGCCACUCAUGGUUGAACCAAAAUAAGAAAAUAAACAAAAGAGAAGAUGGAACCAAAUGGAGAGGAUGGAGAGCCUUUGCGCCGGCUGAAUGGAGAGAAUGUGGAGAAGAGAUGUGUGGCAGCCUUGAAGGGAUCCUUAUAUAGGAUUUUGGUGCUGCCCUAGGUCUUUCUUGCUGCCCAAGUUGAUCUCCUUGCUGCCCAAGUUGAUCUCCUUGCUGCCCAAGGUGCUGCCCAUGCCGCCCAUAUGAAGUGAUGAGGUGUAGUCUCUCUUUGAAUUUUGAAUUUUGAAUGUGCAAGACUUGAGGUGGCAUAUGUGUCUUCUUUGGCUUCCUUGACAAGCUGAAUUUGAAUUUCAAAUUUGAAUGUGCAUCUUCUAAAGAUUUGGCUUCUUCGAUAAGGAAAGGGAUUCUUGAAGAUUUGGAUUUCAAAUUGCUCUGCACUUUUCUUGUUUGCCACUUUCCUUAUUUAGCACUUUCCUUAAUAAGCUGAAUCUUGAAUUUUGAAUGCUCUUGGAGAUUUGAAAUUUGAAUUUCAAAUUUCUUUUCUUAUUUAUCUCCUCUUCAGUUGUAACUUGGCAUACUUGCUCUUCUUUGUUCCAUUUUAGGCAGUUUUAAGGGCAUUUUUUGUAAAUUACCUCUUUACACCAUUUUCUGCAAAAUAUGAUUAAAAUCACAAAAUUAGGCAGAAAAAGCAUAAAUUAACAUCAAUAAUAUCAUGAUAAAAUGGUCUAAAUUUAGACUGAUCAAAUACCCCCACACCUAGCCUUUUGCUUGUCCUUGAGUAAAUAAACUUAGUCAAACAAGCUUUCUUUGCUACUCGAUCCUCUAUUUCCACUCAAGCUCUUACUCGAGAUCCCUAUUUUGAAGUAUUGCAAUGAAGAAUGUAUGCACAAGGUUACUCACCUUCUUUCCUUGGCUCCCUUUACCUACCAUGGCUAGUAUUUAUUUUCCUCAAGAGAGAGAUUACACAUGCACAUAUUAUUUGUUCAAUUAAGACUCUUUCUAGCUUUCAGAGUGAUUUGCCCUUACCUUGAAGUACUUAUUCAGCCUUUUGCACUUUAAUCUUACUUGAAAAAGUCACCAACCUUUUGACGUGAAAGUAUAUAUUAGUGAUACCCACCCCCAGUUACUCAGUUGGUCACCUGUUCAAAUGGCUACUAGCUCUGUUCAUAGUCUUUCAACCAUUGGAAGAGUUUUCAAUUUGUGCUCAUGAAGUCUAAGCCUUUGCCGAAUUUCUUUAAUCAAUGCAUUGGGCAAAUCAACACCAAUUGCUAAAACAAGUCAUAUUAAGUUCAUUUAUACAUCUUUCAAUUCAUUCUCUCUAAUGAGCAAUAUAUAUUUUUCACCAUGGCAAGCUCAAAGAUUCAAUUCAAAAGGAAAUUCCCAAACAUGAAUACAACUCACUGCAAUUGAUUCAACAUAGGUUUAAAGAGUCAUCACAUCAAUGAGGUUAUGGAAAGAAAGCUCAUCCAACAUAGUCUAUGUGUUUGAGUAAAGCAAACCAAAACAGAAAGAAGAAAAAAAACUGUGGCUACAUGUGUGUGCAUUGAACGCAAAAAUAAAAAAAAUCAAACUGUGGCUGUUCAAACUAAGAAUUAAAGCAAAAAUGGACUAAAAAUAAAAGUUCAGAGAUAUGCAUCCCCACACCUAAUUCAUGCAUUUGUCCUCGAUGUAUUGGAAAAAUUAAAGUUCAAAGGAAACUGAAUACUCCCCUGGUGUGGUGUUUGGUGCGAUCCACUAGGCAAGUUGUCUCCACUGGGUUGCCUCCCAGUAGGGCCUUGGUUUAAGGUCAUAGGCUGGACCUUCUCCAUUUGAUCAUGGCUCAAGUAAUUGAGGGAGAAAAAAGGGUCCCAACUGAAUUAAGUAAAAAGUGUAGCUCGCAUUUUGAUUUGGUAAUAACCUAUCAUAUUUCUUUCAUGUACUCAUGAAGUAACAUGAUUAGGUUCUCCUCUUUCAGGUGAGGUGUGUCUCUAGCCCUUAUGUUUGCAUUUUUGAGAUGAUUGGAUAGCACUUUGAACUCCAAUGCAUAUUUCUCCAUAGGUGGCUGCAAUUUGGUACUGAAUUCAGGCAAAAUAAAUUCUACCUUAUCUGGUGGUUUGGGCAGGCAAUGUUCCGCAUGCUCCUUUGGUUUGGGCGCUUGGAAUUCCAUUUGUUCCUUGUGCGCAUGGGCUGUUUGCGUUGGCUGUCUGGCUGAACUGGAUUUGGCCUUCUCCUUUUGUGCAUGGUCACUCUGCGUUUGGUCCAUCUGCUGAAUGCAGUAGACUUUUGCUUUCAGUUUUGGCUCUUUUUGGCUUCCUUCAUCUAUUUGGCUAGCCUCCCUGCAAAAAUAAUUGUUUAGCAUAUCAUUUUGAUUCAUAUAAAAAACUUCUUGGCUCAAACAAUCAAUAAUAUCUAAACCAUCAACAGGUUCUGUUUGACCAGUUUGUUUGGACAAACAGUUUUCUGGUUGUUUUUCUUUAGCAGCUUGUUCUUGUACUUGUGGACUAUUGGGAAAUUCCGAGAUUAUUGCAACCCAAAGGCGCAGCGAAAAAAUAAAAUUUUUCUAAUUUCCUUUUUCCCAGAAUCUGAGUGCUUCAUUUAAUUCACAAGAAGGAUAUGAGACUGACUCGCGGUUGUCGAAGCCGAUAAAAAAUAACCUUUCCGGUUAUCAACAAUUUUACAACUGUAGAUAGUGGUAAAGGAUCGAAUCCACAGAGAAUUGAUUACCAAUCUAUUUUUCUCAACAAGACCAAUAAAAUUAACUGAAACAAUAAUAAAUUAAAAUGAGAUAAAAGACUAAAAGUGAGAUCAAAUUAGAUAAACUGCAAAUUGGGAUCAAAACUGUGAACAAAAUAACAUGGGGGUUUGAGAUUGAUUGUAGUAAACUAAUAAUGAGAAUAAUAAUGGGAAGCAAAUAAUUAAAUAAAAAGUAAUCAAUGAUGAGAAAGUUCUAGUUGAAGUAUUGGAUCCACUUUAGUUGUUGGGAUUGAUCACAUACGCUUUGUUCUUUUGGGUUGAUUCAAUAGAUUAGUUAUGGAGAUGGAAGACGCUUCUCACCACCAUUAUCUCUCCUUAUGAUUAAACCAAUUAGGGAACGUCCUCUAAUUAAUUACUAAUUAACAAAUUGUCAAGGAACGUCCUUGGGCCUUAGGCAUCAAAACAAUUGUCAAUUGCAUUAAGAAAUAGAGAGAUCCAAUCCUAGCUACCCAAACGUAUGGAGAUAACGCUAAAUCAUGCAACUUCCUUGGGUUUUAUCCCAAGUGUUCUCAUGUAAGAAUAAUCCAAGCAAUUACGGACUUAAAUUAUUCAAACUAACAGAUAAUUAUUUUGCAAUAAAAAAUCAACGUAGAUCUCAAUAACAAAAUAAUAUGAAAAUUAAAUAUGAAAUUGCAUGAAUAUUGAAUUCUCAAAAAUUAAACAAUAUUUGAUCAAGUCUCACAACCCAUUAAUCAACUAAAGUUUCAACCAAUAUUCAACUAGAUCAAAAGAAAUCAGCCACUCAUUGGCUGAUUUAAAAACAGAAAAGUAAAAAAUAAAAGGGAAAGGAAGAAAAGAACCGACGACGGAGAAGAGCUGCG
rnacentral:lncRNA from 1 species